CAUGUCUGACUCUCACUGUCCCUUCAGCUCCUGCUUGCUGUGUUUCUACCUGCUAUAUUUCUGGCUUGGGAAGCAGCUGCUCUUUAAUAUCACACCGGUUUCCUCGGUUCUACCUCCGCCAGCCUCAGCAUUCUGAGUGUCCUGAGAAAGAGUCUGCAGAAUGUUCAAGCUGUUGCCACAACUCUGGAAACUAUAGCUGACCUGCAGUUUUUGAGGAAACAAAGAACAAUGGCCCAGGACCAGCUUUGAGAUGAUGCUCUUCUUCACUCAGCCUUCCUCACUCUCCUGAAAUAGUUGCAUGGAUAAUGGGAUCCUUAAUAUGUUAAGUACCUGAGGCCUCCUGGCACUGAAUCUGCUCCUAGGCAAAGAAGAAGGUGAAAGUCAACUGUUUCCCUGAGCUUCACAAGUACACAGAACAGAAAUAAAGCUUAUCUCUGAUAGUACCAUUAA
rnacentral:lncRNA from 1 species